rnacentral:rRNA from 1 species
UAGCCAGACUCCUACGGGAGGCAGCAGUGAGGAAUAUUGGUCAAUGGGCGAGAGCCUGAACCAGCCAAGCCGCGUGAGGGAUGAAGGUACAGAGUAUCGUAAACCUCUUUUGUCAGGGAACAAAGGCGGGGGCGUGUCCCCGGAUGAGUGUACCUGAAGAAAAAGCAUCGGCUAACUCCGUGCCAGCAGCCGCGGUAAUACGGAGGAUGCGAGCGUUAUCCGGAUUUAUUGGGUUUAAAGGGUGCGUAGGCGGAAUAUCAAGUCAGCGGUAAAAAUUCGGGGCUCAACCCCGUCGUGCCGUUGAAACUGAUGUUCUUGAGUGGGCGAGAAGUAUGCGGAAUGCGUGGUGUAGCGGUGAAAUGCAUAGAUAUCACGCAGAACUCCGAUUGCGAAGGCAGCGCACCGGCGCCCUACUGACGCUCAGGCACGAAAGCGUGGGUAUCGAACAGGAUUAGAUACCCGAGUA